CUGGCGCAAUAUCGUUGAGGAAGUAGAAGAACAAUUGCCUCAGCGUCUCGGUGCCAUGAAUGGCUCUGGUGAACCGGGAGGAACGUCAUCGUCUACGGCGACACUCGAUCUUGACGCGAUGAAUAUGAGCUGCGAGUCGAUCAGUUUCGACUCCACCGCGAAGUUCAAACUUCUUCCCUGCUCAUCACGGUGCGACGGUGGUCACCAGGAGAGUAUCCUGGACGAUCCGCGUGAUCGGAACCCGAAGCGGGCUCGGACUCCAUGGUCCAAGUCGCACCAGCGCAUGCUCGUGGCAGUCUUCGUGGUCGGCUUUCUGUUCGCUGUGGUCGUGGGUGCCGCCUACUUCCUGGAUACCGACCACGACGACGUCGCCCCCUACCGGCCAGUGAUCCAGACCACUCUUGCGCCUGUCAGAAGUGACACUGGCAACGUGACUUCUACGAUGCACUAAUGGUUGUUUCGGCAGAUGCUUGCCUCCCGUCUACGUGUGUUCCGAUUUAAUUCUCGAAAGAAAAGAACAAACUACUCCAUGAACCGUUUGUAUGAGUCUGCUUAAAAUUAAAGUAUUAGUGCUCUA